UUUGGCCUACGGGGCGCAGCAGUGGGGGAUAUUGCACAAUGGGGGAAACCCUGAUGCAGCGACGCCGCGUGGGCGAAGAAGUAUUUCGGUAUGUAAAGCCCUAUCAGCAGGGAAGAAGAAAUGACGGUACCUGAGUAAGAAGCACCGGCUAAAUACGUGCCAGCAGCCGCGGUAAUACGUAUGGUGCAAGCGUUAUCCGGAUUUACUGGGUGUAAAGGGCGCGUAGGCGGACUGUCAAGUCAGUCGUGAAAUACCGAAGCUUAACUUCGGGGCUGCGAUUGAAACUGACAGCCUUGAGUAUCGGG
rnacentral:rRNA from 1 species